GACCGGAUCAAACAUGAAUCAAAUGGAAUGGGCUCGCUGGAUGCCUAUUGAUCGUUUGGAGAUGAUGGGUGCUAGUUUUUUUUUUUGGACCCAACUUAUAUUGCACAUCUAUCUCUUGUUAGCUUGUAUGUUACUCUUUGAUAUGGCAUAUUUCUACUACUAAUGCUACUAACAUUCAACGUGGCAUACUUGACAUAAAAGAGUUGGACA
rnacentral:lncRNA from 1 species